CGGGGCGUAGCGCAGUUUGGCUAGCGCGCUUGAAUGGGGUUCAAGAGGUCGCAGGUUCGAAUCCUGUCGCCCCGAC
rnacentral:tRNA from 1 species